CCUGUGAUGUCACUAGCCCAUGACACAUCACAAUCCACAUACACAUGAACUAAGCUGGCAACGAAAAGUUCAUUACAUAAGUGAAACAUAACUCAAAUGAAGAAAAAUACAAUGUGAUCAUCCCCAAAAGCAAAAAAAGUGAGAAGACUGAGGCUCAAAAAGAUCAGAUGACUUGCCCAAACCCAUACAGUAAAGACGGGAUUUGUGACUUUCACCAUUACAGAAGUCAAGAAAUGAAGACACAGAGGUAUAUGCUGACUUGGCCAAAGCAAGCUACCCAAGGGAGUUCAUG